rnacentral:rRNA from 1 species
CCUACGGGAGGCAGCAGUGGGGAAUAUUGGUCAAUGGGCGCAAGCCUGACCCAGCAACGCCGCGUGAAGGAUGAAGGUUCUCGGAUUGUUAACUUCUUUCUCGAGGGACGUAAACUGACGGUCCCUCGUCAGAAAGCCCCGGCUAACUACGUGCCAGCAGCCGCGGUAAUACGUAGGGGGCAAGCGUUUUCCGGAAUGACUGGGUGUAACGGGAGUGUAGGCGGGUUUGUAAGUAAGAUGUGAAAUCCUACGGCUUAACCGUAAAACUGCAGCUGAAACUGGGAGUUUGGAGUGCAGGUGAGGUAGGUGGAAUUCGUGGUGUAGCGGUGGAAUGCGUAGAUAUUAGGAAGAACACCAGAGGCGAAGGCGACUCACUGGACUGUAACUGACGCUGAGGCUCGAAAGCGUGGGGAGCAAACAGGAUUAGAUACCCGAGUAGUC